GGGAUUAGAUACCCCUGUAGUCCUGGCCGUAAACGAUGUACACUAGGUGUCGGGGGAAUCGACCCCCUCGGUGUCGUAGCUAACGCGUUAAGUGUUCCGCCUGGGGAGUACGCACGCAAGUGUGAAACUCAAAGGAAUUGACGGGGGCCCGCACAAGCGGUGGAGUAUGUGGUUUAAUUCGAUGCAACGCGAAGAACCUUACCAGGGUUUGACAUCCUGCGAAUCCCUUAGAAAUUUGGGAGUGCCCUCGGGAGCGCAGAGACAGGUGGUGCAUGGCUGUCGUCAGCUCGUGUCGUGAGAUGUUGGGUUAAGUCCCGCAACGAGCGCAACCCACGUCUUUAGUUGCCAGCAUUGAGUUGGGCACUCUAGAGAGACCGCCGGUGAUAAACCGGAGGAAGGUGUGGAUGACGUCAAGUCAUCAUGCCCCUUACAUCCUGGGCUACACACGUACUACAAUGCUACGGACAAAGGGUUGCAAACUCGCGAGAGCUAGCUAAUCCCAUAAACCGUGGCUCAGUUCAGAUCGUAGGCUGCAACUCGCCUACGUGAAGGAGGAAUCGCUAGUAAUCGCAGGUCAGCAUACUGUGGUGAAUACGUUCCCGGGCCUUGUACACACCGCCCGUCACACCAUGGAAGUUGGCCACGCCCGAAGUCGUUACUCCAACC
rnacentral:rRNA from 1 species